GUUCUAUUCAAUCCUUGGUCUCAUCCUGUCAUCACACAGCGAGUCGUUUUUUCCUUUCUUGUCAAAUUGAUAUUGUAAUGCUUGUAUAGUUUGUGUCGUACGUUUGUGUAUUUGUCAGUCCGCUCAAUUGGACUCAUCAUAUUUUAAAUUACUUACUUUCUAAUGAGUUUUAUGAUUUUCAAACAUUUCGUCACAAUUUACUGCUUACACUAAAUUCUCAUAGAAUUUGUUUCGUGUUUUCAAAGUUUUACAAUUAGACUCAAUGAAAUCGGCCAAUCCAAAACUGAAAGUUGCCGAUGUAAAGCAUUCCAUAAUCGCUAUGAUGCUUUCAAAGAAAACGUUAAAAUACGAUCUAAGGCGAAUUCAGUUCAGUCAUUUUGCGCAGCAUAAACAAGUACAGCUCAAUAACGUUUUGUUAGAGGAGAAAUCAUCCAGCCAUGUUCUAUUAACAUAUAAGGCCUCGUAAUCAGCCUGUGUUAACAAGUUCACAUAAAAACAAAUGAGCUGCACACCGCUGUCGUCGAGAAAGUAAUUCUUGCCAUGAUAUCUUCCUGCAGAACGGCAACAAUCAGGCCAUCCAUAAGCUGCUUCACGUUGCGGUCUGCGAAGAGAAUUAUGAUAUUUGACACACCACCGUCACGUACAUAGGGUUCUGUAUCACUCGUCGGUAUAGUGUAAAUUAGAUAUAGGCAAGAAGAGGAAUUAGUGAGUUGCCGCAUUAGUGAGCGCUUUAUUCCUGAAAAAUAUGAUUCGCCCGCUCGCAUAAAAACAA